UGUGGCACAUGGAAGUUCCCAGGCCAGGGGUCAAAUCAGAGCUACAGCUGCCUGCCUACGUCAUAGCCACAACAAUGUCGGGUCCCAGCCACGUCUGUGACCUACACUGCAGCUCACAGCAAUGCCAGAUCCUUGACCCACUGAGUGAUGCCAGGGAUCAAACUUGCAUCCUCAUGGAUCCUAGGUGGGUUUGAUAACCACUGAGCCAUGACGGGAACUCCCUAUCAAUAUAUUUUAAGGUCAAUUUUAACAUAUCAUUUAAUGCCCUGGAAAAGAGCACUUUAGCCAGUUUUUGAUUCAGAAUUAUUAUGAAUAUGGAAUGUUUGAUUCUUAUCAAAAAUAUGGUUCCAUAUCUAGAAUUUUUUUAAUCAUAUUAUGACUCCAGACUUAAGGUUCACCAGCUCUGACCAUGUUGCUAGCUCUCAUUGAGACAUCCUCUUUCUCUUCCUAGUUUACUACAAUGCUGCUCAUCUGAAGAGCUAGAGAAACCUGAGUCAGGAAGCAAUUAAGAAGCCUGGUCCAGGAGAGCCAAUAACUCUCAGGGAAGAACCAGGGAAGUGAAUACAUGGCUUUAGUAGGGGCGAGAGUUUCAUAAGUGAGGCUUUUUAAUACUUCUGAGUCAGGACUAAACUUUGGAGCAUCCCAAAUGACAAGGGCAACUUCUCUUUUUUUCUUUUUAUGGCCACACCUGUAGCAAAUGGAAGUUCCGGGGCUAGGGGUUGAAUCAGAGCUUCAGCUUAUGCCACAGCCAUGGCAACACCAUAUCUAAGCCAUCUGCAACCUACGCUGCAGCUUAUGGCAACACCAGAUCCUUAACCCACUGAAGCCAGGGAUCAAACCUGCAUCCUCAUGGACAUUAUUUCAGGUUCUUAACCCAGCGAGCCACAAUGGGAACUCCAAGGGUGACCUUCUGUUGACUGACAACAGACUGGAUUCCAUCACUUACCUGAGGUCUUUCCUUGAAAAGACUCAUAUUUCUAGUUACGCUAGGGGUAUCUUGUCUGAGCAAAAAUGUGUGAAACAAAAUGACAGAAAUAUAAUAGGUGACCAUUACACCUUUUUCCCGAAAACUAGAUUCUGGUCAGCAGCAUGGUUAGUGACGUAUUUGAGAGGCUCAGCUAUUUCUGGACUUACUAACAUGGCAUUCCAAUUCAUUUGGGUGAUGCUGGGCCUGAGAAGUGUCCCCCUACAUUUCUUUUGUCUUGGUCACCCAUUAACUCUUGCCUUUCCUCACUGGUCCUGUCCACAAAAGCUUGUCUUUCCAACUAAAGGCAAAGGCCCUCUCCUAAACACUGCAACUCCUGCUCUAAAACGCCAUGACUCAAGCUGAACAGUCUUCACAGCCAGGGAUUUAUGGCCAAUUCUUCCAAAUUACAUUCAAUAACAAGCAAUCCUUGUGAUUCAGAAGACCUCCAGUGACUCAAUUGUAGAACCCAACUAAAGUCAUUUUUGGCAGAUACCAUCCUAAACCUAAUUGGUUCAUAUCCAAUUAUCUCAUAAAACAGGUACAUUUAUUUAGAAACUAAAAUGAGUACAUCUUUCAAUUAAUGCAUCCUGGCAAUUUCUUCAGAACCCUGUUUUGAUCAAAACUGUGUUUUCUGUGGGCACGUUAUCCAGGUAUUAUACAGUCUUUGAGGGGAACUAGUAACAACUGCUCUAACAAUCUCCAGGCUCAAAGCUUCUUUUCAUGCUCUACGGUGUAAAAUUUUCAAGACUUAAAUAAUCAUUUUUUUCAAGAACCAGAAAAGCCCCAAAAUUAUCUUCUGAGCACAACUCUAGUUUUCUGCAUCUGGCCUCCAUGCAGUAGUCAAAUAGCUAUCAAUCCAAGCAGAGAGCAUAUUUUGCCUACUCACAUUUCAUAAAAUAGUAUCGAAUUUCCAUCUGUUUAUUUUUUAUUUCCAAAGGACACUGCUCCAGCCUUGAUGGACAUACUGUCUCUCUUUAAUGUAAGACAGCGUCCAAAAAUAUAACACCGAACUGUCAACUGUCUAGUUCUUAUCAAAACCUCAGGUGGAGAUUGUGAGACAGUCAUUAAAAAUGUAUGACAUAUAUAUGACCUAACGCCACAUAAAUCUAUCUUUGAUCAAAGUUGACACCAGAUGGCACGGAACUGAAACAAGUGCUUUUGGCCUCAGCUCAGAACUGCCUUUCCUGAGCUGGACUGCAGGCGUCAGGCCCCGGGCUUUGAUCUAGAGACACUAGAGGAAAAGCCUUAUGAGACUAGAUAACACAUGUGCUGUAAGGGUAUCGCUUGAAGACAUCGUUCUCUCAGUCACUCACUGCCCUUUUUAUGACCCUACUGUGAAAUGCAUAGUAAGAUUUGGAAUCCAUGCUAACAUAAUCUAUAGCCACCUGAAGAGACAUAAACCUUGUUAAAAGCACAGGUGUCACCCUGGGCUGCGAUAACGAGUAGGUUCCUCCAGUCUGGGUAUCAAUAUGAUGGUGCCUAGAGGAGCCCCUUAACUCAGGACUUUAUGGAUCUAUUAAAAAGACCAGUGGGAACUAUAUACUUUAUACUAUCCUGUAAACUUGAACCUCACUUAGUUGCAAUGACAGGGGAUUCUGGACAAUGGAGUUGUGGUAUCAGUUCCCAGACCUGCGUAAGAGGCUUGGCUGGUUGGGACUUCUAAGAAUCACUUUAUUGUCCUCCUCUUCUUGCCUUGCUCCCUUCGUGCUGGUGAAUAUGCUCACCUUGCCCCACGCAGGGCUGAGCUGGAAUCUUCCUUCUUGUUUCAGAGCACUUUCUGUGAGAGUCUGUUGUGCCCUUGCCCACAUUUAUGUCACAUGAGCCUCCCACAACGGUGGGCUUUGGAGGACACCUCUGCCAAGUGCCCUGCCUGUGCCAAGUUCAUUCCUGAGCCCAAGGACAGCAAACUGCCUCUUCGUCCAUAUGAGGUCUAUCCAAAGGCUGGUGCAGCUUGUCCAGCACUGAGGCAAUGGGAGGGUUUACUUCUGCUUCUUUGGCCUUGACAUGUAGUUUUGUCCUGAAUCAUACACUGGGCAGAAAGUUGGGGCAUUUCAAUGGUCUCUGGCUGACUAGAGUCUAAGAAGCAGCCUCCCUGGCUGCUGCAGCUCAGUAAGGUCCCUGCUGAACAGUUCUUCUCCUAGUGCCAUGAAGGGAAUAGAGCUGUGAUGCCUUUGGACUUGAACUUGAAUCCUGACCUUGCCUCCUACUAAUUCUGUGAUCUCAGGCAAGCUAGGUAACCUCUCUGAGUCUUGGUUUCUUCUUUUCUUGAGGUACUUACCUUGGCAAGGGUGUCGUAAGGGUUGCAAACUACUUUUACUAUACCUUAUAAAGAAGAGUUUACAUAAUAAAUUGAAGAAUUGGGAGAAGGGAGGGGAGAAGAGAGGGCUAGACAGAUAAGUUCAUAUUUAUUUUCGGUAAGAAUGAAAAACCACAUCUCCCUUUUCCUUUGACUCUCAGGAAACUUGAGGUAAAUUGGAUAUUCAAUUUGAACACUAGAUAAAAUCUUCUGACCUACAAUUUUAAUGUUUAUUUCUCCAGGAUCUUUUUGUUCCUACUUUUACCUAUUCCUGGGUCUUCUUUUUUAAAUCAUAUUUAUGGUUCAUUAUUUUGUGUGGAUUCUUUUUAUUUAUAUGGGUUUUGAGCUCUGCUUGAGGUUUGAAGAACAUCUCAAAUUUUUUAUGGGAACGAGACGUGGUGUACACAUAAAUAUGUAUAUAUUGCUUGUUUAGAGACAUUGCUGGGAACAUUUUCGUGGCACUAUAUAAUAACAUAAUACAGAAAGCAAUCUCACACCCCAUCUUUCUUAAUCCUUCCAGUGACCUUGUGAAAUAGAUAUUAUUAACUCCAUUUCUGAGAGGAGGCAGUCCAGGCUCCAGGGCAGGGGCUGGGGUAGGGGGGUGGCUUUCCUCAGAUUGCUUAACCUCUCCCAAGGGUCAGAAUUUCACGUGCAACCCAAGCCUUUGGAAUCUCAGCUUAAUGCUCUUUCUUUUGCCACGGAGCUGCCUCUCCAGAGAGUUAUUAGCUGUUUCAGGCCUGCCAUUGGGCCUAAUAAAUAAUACCCAUAGCAAUAGCCCAGGCUACGUGCCAGGCAUUUUACAUGCAUUAUCGCAUUUAGGGCUCCCUACAAGCUGACUGUGUAGCCACUGCGUUAUCCUCUCUUGUAAACCAGGAACUCUAUGAAGGCAGGCUCCCCAAGGUCAAGGUCAGUGAGGGGAGGGCUUGGGAUUUGAACCCAGGUUAGUGCGACUCUGGAGUUCUCGCUCUUAACCACUACCUCCAAGAGCAUCAGCUCUGUCACUGAGUGACACUUCCUGAGGGCAGUGUUCAAAGGACUUGGGGCUUGUGUGAUGUCGCUGUGUGGCUGUGAUAGAAGCAGGCGGCAGCAGGAGAUUGUCCCUGCCUCCCUGACCUCCCCCCAGAAGGAAGGCAGCUCUAGGCAGGUAGCCGGAUGGCCUAGCCACUAACCUGCAGCAGCUCAUCAAAGCCUCCAGCCUCUGUGAUCUCACUGGGAUCUGUGGGAAAAGGUCACCGCCACCGCCUUUGUGUUCCAAUUCACGCUCUCCUUGAGGGUUGACCUGAGCACUCUGAUUUCCUUGACAUCCUCUUUGCUGCCUGCUUUAAGAUCUUCAUAUACAUGGUAAAAAUAAACCUCGUAUUCUGGGUACUGGCCCUUAGAAGCGUCCUGGGACUGUUUUUGGAAGUAUAAUUAUCACCUUGAAGUCUAUUCUUUUUAUCUUUUGGAUUUAUUCAGUUUUUUGGAGGCUUUUACCUUAAGAUAUGCUUUUGGGUUACAACAAACAAGGCUAAAUAUUUCUGGAAAUAUUCAAAGAGGGAGUUCUUUUCAUCUUGAUAAGGUGUACCAGUUCUUUUAAUGUUAGUAGGAUUAUUUUAUUUUCUCUGCUGGCUGCUGCCCCUCUUGACCGAAGCUCUAGGUUGGUCUUUGUUGCUCUAACCCCAGCUUCUAGCAACACCUGAGGUCCAGUCUCCAUCUUCUACCAAAUAAAUGAUCACAGGCAGCUCCACAACCUCUUGAAGCCUUGGUUUUGUUUAGGUUUUUUUCAGUCAGUCACACAGUGGGGAUAAUAAUUACUCUCUCUCUCUCUCUCAGAUUGUUAAGAAGAUCUAAUGAGAUAGUGACGUUAAAGUGCUUUGAGAACCAUAUGUUGCCAUAAAAAUGUAAGAUCACUACCGUGGUCCUGGGUGCAGACUUCUGAUAAAGGCCAUGUGCUUAAGGGACACGCCAGCAUUAAUUACCCAGGCAUUUGGGCCUGCAGCCUAAUUAUCUGGAACAAGAGUAGAAAAUUCUAUAACUCUGUCAUUUUGCCUACCUGUCAUGAAUCACAGGCAUUGAUUUUGGAACUGAGGUUUUGAUGACCCGCAGUUUUAUCCAGAUCGUCACAAGUCUGCAGAGAUGUGGGAAGAAUAGGGUGUUUUGAGUGCAGCUUCCUCGAUGGUGACAUGUUUCAUUCUUCUCAAAACAGGGGUUGGCCAGUAACAGCCAGGGGGCCAAAUGUAGCCCAUUACCUCUUAUUUAUAUAUCCCACCAGCUAAGAAUGGCUUUUAGAAUUUUUAAAUAACUGAAAAUAGAUCAAGACAAGAAUAGUAUUUUGUGGUAUUCUGCACUCAAAGCCAAGAAACUCAAGAGGUCCUCAGCAAUCUGAAUGCUGCCAGGCCAGCCAGGGACUUCAUCUGUGCAGAGACGCUGAGGGAAAAGUGUGCUAUAUGCAAAGAAGGCUGAGGCUUGGGCAUUGAAAGGGCAGAGGGGUCCAUCUGGGGCUCAGUCAGGAUGCAAAUGGUCCCCAAAAAGGAGUGUGACACAGAGAAGACAGACAUAUAGAGCUAGCAAUGGAAGAAGCCAGGUCCCCAGUCCCCUGGGGGUGGAUGUGAUGUGACGUGGCCCAGAUAGGAUGAGGCCCUGUGUGUGGUCCUGGUUCUUCCCCACUGGACUCAUCACUGUUCAUUCCAUUGCUCUCUUCCAUCACUGAGCAACAGGUGCUUUACUAAAGCUCUCUCAGGAGACACUGAAGAAGGGAGUUUGCAAGGCUGAAGCCACAGUACUUUGUGCCCCCUGACCUCCGCUGGCCUUUUCUCCAGGACCCAUCCCGACUCCCUGCCUGUGCCUCUUCUGCUCCAUGGCCUGUUUUCCUCUGCCACCACCCUAAGAAGCCGCAGGUCCCACAGUCUCUACCACUCUCGCCUUCCCUCUAGGACUUUGGUUUCCCUCCAACUCCAGGACAACCUUGCCUCCCCACCCUUACCACUUAACUCUGCAAGUUCCCUCCCUACUGGGGGAGGAGGCAAUAAAUGACUUACGAGUCUUCCUGGCCCAUGGGACUCUGGGGGG
rnacentral:lncRNA from 1 species